rnacentral:tRNA from 1 species
UGGAGGAGGUAUUUUGGCGGGAGUUCGUUUUAUGAAGAUGAAGACAUUCUUGAAAGUGGCGCGAAUGAUUGGUUCUGAUACCUAUAGCCUUCAA